rnacentral:misc_RNA from 1 species
UGGGGGCUGGAGGCUUAUUCAAGUCCCCUCCCCUUAAAUGCAUUAGCUGGAACCUUUUGUGAACCUACAAUGGUGUGAUAAUUAUCUACUCUAUUGGUGAGACGCAAUAUAAAUACAGAGGUUCUGCUUCUAACAGUCCAUUUGAUUGGACACUCUGACAAUUUGACCUCAAAUCAGGUAGGACUACCCGCUGAACUUAA